rnacentral:rRNA from 1 species
UGCGACCCCAGGAUGGGCGAGGCCACCCGCCGAGUUUAAGCAUAUCAAUAAGCGGAGGAAAGAACCCCUUUCCC